AGGAGCAACAGCCCCAGUGGCGGGGCAGCUCUGGAAACCUGGAUUCAGCUCUGGCAGGAACUCCGUCUGCAGGGCCUGGAGGCUCCGGGGCGGG
rnacentral:pre_miRNA from 1 species